rnacentral:lncRNA from 1 species
AAUAGCCAUUAAGGGUUUAUAGUGUCCGGCGUAACUCAGGGUACUAUCGAAUUGGAAGAAUUUUCUGAAGUAAAGUGGCAAAUCGGAGUAAUUUGGUGGAAUUAGAGUGGCAAUUGUAAGAUGGGGUGCUUUCGCGUGUACAAAGUCGACGCCAGCGUCGUUACAGAGGAUGUACACGUGGCCAUCGGAAUUAGUGAUCAGACGGCCAGCUAAGGGAGGGAAAUGGGAGAGAGUUUUAGAAAGGGAAAUUUUGAGAUGGGAAAUAAGAUGAGUGGAAGUUAAUUCAGUUGGGGGUUGGGUUAACAAAACACCCUUUUGAAUAUACUGGCAAGAAAGCAUAGGAAGAUCAGAAACAGAGAGUCUUAAGGAAUUAUUAAC